AUUGAACGCUGGCGGCAGGCCUAACACAUGCAAGUCGAGCGGAGCGGCGGACGGGUGAGUAAUGCCUAGGAAUCUGCCUGGUAGUGGGGGAUAACGUCCGGAAACGGGCGCUAAUACCGCAUACCAUCAGAUGUGCCCAGAUGGGAUUAGCUAGUAGGUGGGGUAAAGGCUCACCUAGGAGACGAUCCCUAGCUGGUCUGAGAGGAUGACAAGCCACACUGGAACUGAGACACGGUCCAGACGCCUACGGUAGGCAGCAGUGGGGAAUAUUGCACAAUGGGCGCAAGCCUGAUGCAGCCAUGCCGCGUGUGUGAAGAAGGCCGUCGGGUUGUAAAGCACUUUCAGCGGGGAGGCGUUACCCGCAGAAGAAGCACCGGCUAACUCCGUGCCAGCAGCCGCGGUAAUAC
rnacentral:rRNA from 1 species